rnacentral:lncRNA from 1 species
GGAGACAGGGACAGACAGCCCGAAAGGAGCCGAGGGAGGUGCAAAGAACGCCGGGGCGAACGAGGAGGAAACGUUAGGAAUGGGAAGGGUUUUGGUGCACAUCAAAGAGCAGGAAUUCACGCGAAGAAGGGGCGUGAUGGCCCAGAAGAAUCACCUGGGCCGUCCGGGGCUUCCCCGCAGUGCCCUCCUCCGCCACCAACAGCAGCUGGGCCCGGGCGGGAGAAGCCUUGGGAAGGGGCGCUGGUACC